GAUGAACGCUGGCGGCGUGCCUAAUACAUGCAAGUCGAGCGAACGGAUGAGAAGCUUGCUUCUCUGAUGUUAGCGGCGGACGGGUGAGUAACACGUGGAUAACCUACCUAUAAGACUGGGAUAACUUCGGGAAACCGGAGCUAAUACCGGAUAAUAUUUUGAACCGCAUGGUUCAAAAGUGAAAGACGGUCUUGCUGUCACUUAUAGAUGGAUCCGCGCUGCAUUAGCUAGUUGGUAAGGUAACGGCUUACCAAGGCAACGAUGCAUAGCCGACCUGAGAGGGUGAUCGGCCACACUGGAACUGAGACACGGUCCAGACACCUACGGGAGGCAGCAGUAGGGAAUCUUCCGCAAUGGGCGAAAGCCUGACGGAGCAACGCCGCGUGAGUGAUGAAGGUCUUCGGAUCGUAAAACUCUGUUAUUAGGGAAGAACAUAUGUGUAAGUAACUGUGCACAUCUUGACGGUACCUAAUCAGAAAGCCACGGCUAACUACGUG
rnacentral:rRNA from 1 species